CCCGCCACUAUGCUAGUCUGAGGGUGACUUGGUAUAAUCCAGUGGAGGCUGAGAGAAAUCCAGCUCUAGGAAGCAGGGCUGCCCAGUCCAAUGGGUUGCUCUGUGCCGAAAGAUCUGGAACAAAU